rnacentral:rRNA from 1 species
UACAGAGGGGGCAAGCGUUAUUCGGAAUUAUUGGGCGUAAAGGGCGCGUAGGCGGCUUUGCAAGUGACGGGUGAAAUCCCUCGGCUUAACCGAGGAACUGCCUGUCAAACUGCAUGGCUUGAGACCGGGAGAGGUGAGUGGAAUUCCUAGUGUAGCGGUGAAAUGCGUAGAUAUUGGGAGGAACACCAGUGGCGAAGGCGGCUCACUGGACCGGUACUGACGCUGAGGCGCGAAAGCCAGGGGAGCAAACGGG